rnacentral:rRNA from 1 species
GGUAGCCGCACGAGCGCACCCUUAUCCUUAGUUGCCAGCACGUAAUGGUGGGAACUCUAAGGAGACUGCCGGUGACAAACCGGAGGAAGGUGGGGACGACGUCAAGUCAUCAUGGCCCUUACGAGAUGGGCUACACACGUGCUACAAUGGCAAGUACAAAGGGUUGCAAACUCGCGAGAGUAAGCGGAUCCCAUAAAGCUUGUCGUAGUCCGGAUUGGAGUCUGCAACUCGACUCCAUGAAGUCGGAAUCGCUAGUAAUCGUGGAUCAGAAUGCCACGGUGAAUACGUUCCCGGGCCUUGUACACACCGCCCGUCACACCAUGGGAGUGGGCUGCAAAAGAAGUGGAUAGCUUAACCUUCGGGAGGGCGUUCACCACUUUGUGGUUCAUGACUGGGGUGAAGUCGUAACAAGGUAGCCGUAGGGGAACCUGCGGCUGGAUCACCUCCUU